rnacentral:rRNA from 1 species
GAUGAACGCUGACAGAAUGCUUAACACAUGCAAGUCAACUUGAAAUUCGGUUUGGGUGGCGGACGGGUGAGUAACGCGUAAAGAACUUGCCUCACAGAUAGGGACAACAUUUGGAAACGAAUGCUAAUACCUGAUAUUAUGAUUUUAGGGCAUCCUAGAAUUAUGAAAGCUAUAUGCGCUGUGAGAGAGCUUUGCGUCCCAUUAGCUAGUUGGAGAGGUAACGGCUCACCAAGGCGAUGAUGGGUAGCCGGCCUGAGAGGGUGAUCGGCCACAAGGGGACUGAGACACGGCCCUUACUCCUACGGGAGGCAGCAGUGGGGAAUAUUGGACAAUGGACCAAGAGUCUGAUCCAGCAAUUCUGUGUGCACGAUGAAGUUUUUCGGAAUGUAAAGUGCUUUCAGUUGGGAAGAAAAAAAUGACGGUACCAACAGAAGAAGUGACGGCUAAAUACGUGCCAGCAGCCGCGGUAAUACGUAUGUCACAAGCGUUAUCCGGAUUUAUUGGGCGUAAAGCGCGUCUAGGUGGUUAUAUAAGUCUGAUGUGAAAAUGCAGGGCUCAACUCUGUAUUGCGUUGGAAACUGUGUAACUAGAGUACUGGAGAGGUAAGCGGAACUACAAGUGUAGAGGUGAAAUUCGUAGAUAUUUGUAGGAAUGCCGAUGGGGAAGCCAGCUUACUGGACAGAUACUGACGCUGAAGCGCGAAAGCGUGGGUAGCAAACAGG